rnacentral:tRNA from 1 species
CGGGGCGUGGCUCAGCUUGGCUAGAGCGCUUGGUUCGGGACCAAGAGGUCACAGGUUCAAAUCCUGUCGCCCCGACCA